rnacentral:rRNA from 1 species
GCCGUUACCUCACCAACAAGCUGAUAGGCCGCGAGCUCAUCCCUGACCGAAGUUCUUUCCAGCUGCUGAAGAUGCCUUCGCAGCUCGUAUCCAGUAUUAGACGCCGUUUCCAGCGCUUAUCCCAGAGUCAGGGGCAGAUUGCUCACGUGUUACUCACCCGUUCGCCACUGAUCCAGCAGAGCAAGCUCCGCCUUCACCGUUCGACUUGCAUGUGUUAAGCACGCC